rnacentral:lncRNA from 1 species
GGAACCUAGACAUCCCCCCUUGCCUGGACUCUGAGCUGACCGAAUUCCCCCUGCGCAUGCGGGACUGGCUCAAGAACGUCCUGGUCACCCUGUAUGAGAGGGAUGAGGACAACAACCUUCUGACUGAGAAGCAGAAGCUGCGGUGAAGAAGAUCCAUGAGAAUGAGAAGCGCCUGGAGGCAGGAGACCACCCCGUGGAGCUGCUGGC